rnacentral:lncRNA from 1 species
AACCGAUUCCAUUAUAUAUAUAUAUAUAUAUAUAUAUAUAUAUAUAUACAUAUCACAUUUUCUUUAUCCAUUCAUCUGUUGAUGGGCACAUAUAUGUAUACAUUAUUUAUUAUGUAUUAUUUAUUUUACAAAUAUUUUUAAAAAUCACCACAAAAUACAUUUUUGCAUUGGAAAUUUUACCCAAUUGUAUUUUCUUUACCUGAACAAUAUUUUCAUACAUAUUUACUAAUAAGCAAACAGAGUUUUGCUAGCUUUUGUGAAGGGGAAGAGCACAAUCUUUUUUUUUUUUUAAUUUUAAUUUUUACUUUAUUUUGCUUUACAAUACUGUAUUGGUUUUGCCAUACAUUGGCAUGAAUCCACCACGGGUGUACAUGCGAUCCCAAACAUGAACCCCCCUCCCACCUCCCUCCCCACAACAUCCCUCUGGGUCAUCCCCAUGCACCAGCCCCCUUUAAUCAGGAUAUGCUUGCCUAUGAAAGGUACUGAAGUGAUAUUUUGUAGAAGUCACUAAAAUUUAUUUACUAGCUUGGCAUUGUUGCAAUCCAUUUCAGGUAAGGGAAAUAUUGACAAAGGUACCACUCCAGUACUCUUGCCUGGAAAAUCCCAUGGACAGAGGAGCCUGGUAGGCUGCAGUCCAUGGAGUCGCUAGGGGUUGGACAUGACUGAGCGACUUCACUUUCACUUUUCAGUUUCAUGCAUUGGAGAAGGAAAUAGCAACCCACUGCAGUGUUCUUGCCUGGAGAAUCCCAGGGAUGGGGGAGCCUGGUGGGCUGCCGUCUCUGAGGUCGCACAGAGUCGGACGCAACUGAAGCGACUUAGCAGCAGCAGCAGCAGAAGAUGGUCAUUACUCUGGAAACCAGUUAUCUUGAAAGUGUUCAAGGAAAGUGAAACAGAAACCAACAUGAAUGAAUAUUUGGCCAUCAAUUUUUUCUAAACUCAGCUUCCUUGGUGGCUCAGAUAGUAAAGAAUCUGCCUGCAAUGCAGGGCACCCAGAUUCGAUCCCUGGGUUGGGAAGACCCCUGAAGAAGGGAAUGACCACCCACUCCAGUAUUCUUGCCUGGAGAAUUCCAUGUACAGAGGAGCUUGGUGGGUUAUAGUCCAUGGGGUCACAAAAAGUAGGACACAACUGAGCAAUUUUUAGUUUGGUUUAUCUAAAUUAGAUAAUUCCUCUUUCUCCACAUCUACCCUAAAUCUAUCCUCAAUGAUAUUUUGUUCAUGAUGCCCACAUUACUCCUGUCUGAAAUGGCUUCUCCCCAUCAAUUCUGAAAGUUACAGCAGAAGACAGCAGUUUUUCAAGGUCCUAUUCAGAAAGCUUCUUUUUAUUAAUCUUUUGCCUUCAGAAGAAAAAAAAUUAUGCUGUUUCAUUUAGCUAAUGAAGCUUGAGAUCUGUACCUUUCUUAUGGAAAUUUUAUGGCAACUUUCUUGUAAUA